rnacentral:rRNA from 1 species
GACGAACGCUGGCGGCGUGCUUAACACAUGCAAGUCGAACGGAAAGGCCCUGCUUUUGUGGGGUGCUCGCGUGGCGAACGGGUGAGUAACACGUGAGUAACCUGCCCUUGACUUUGGGAUAACUUCAGGAAACUGGGGCUACUACCGGCUAGGAGCUCCUGCUGCAUGGUGGGGGUUGGAAAGUUUCGGCGGUUGGGGCUGGACUCGCGGCUUAUCAGUUUGUUGGUGGGGUAGCGGCUUACCAAGGCUUUGACGGGUAGCCGGCCUGGGAGGGUGACCGGGCACAUUGGGACUGAGAUACGGCCCAGACUCCUACGGUAGGCAGCAGGGGGGAAUAUUGCACAAUGGGCGGAAGCGUGAUGCAGCAACGCUGCGUGCGGGAUGACGGCCUUCGUGUUGUAAACCGCUUUCGCCUGUGACGAAGCGUGAGUGACGGUAAUGGGUGAAGAAGCACCGGCUAACUACGUG